AGCGAACGCUGGCGGCAGGCCUAACACAUGCAAGUCGAACGAACUCUUCGGAGUUAGUGGCGGACGGGUGAGUAACACGUGGGAACGUGCCUUUUGGUUCGGAAUAACUCAGGGAAACUUGUGCUAAUACCGAAUGUGCCCUUCGGGGGAAAGAUUUAUCGCCAUUAGAGCGGCCCGCGUCUGAUUAGCUAGUUGGUGAGGUAACGGCUCACCAAGGCGACGAUCAGUAGCUGGUCUGAGAGGAUGACCAGCCACACUGGGACUGAGACACGGCCCAGACUCCUACGGGAGGCAGCAGUGGGGAAUCUGGCGCAAUGGGCGAAAGCCUGACGCAGCCAUGCCGCGUGAAUGAUGAAGGUCUUAGGAUUGUAAAAUUCUUUCACCGGGGACGAUAAUGACGGUACCCGGAGAAGAAGCCCCGGCUAACUUCGU
rnacentral:rRNA from 1 species